UUAUGGUCACAGCAUGUUGAAACUAUGGUUCCAUACAAUCAACGAAGUUAAGGAACAUUGAGCCUGGUCAGUACCUAGAUGGGUGACCACCUGAAAAUACCAGGUGCUGUAA